UACGACGUGGUGGUUGGGCAGGACUUCAAAUUCGAGGU
rnacentral:tRNA from 1 species